CUACAACGUUCUCGUGAUCAAAAUGGCGAAGCAACUUAAUCUCUCGAAGCGUGCGUUUGGCGUCCAUAUGAUUUUCAAAAGCGUUAGCUAUCUUCUUUAUCGCUACCAUCUCAUUCGUCUCCGAAUUCAACACCGAACAGACAAUACCAUAAGCGCCACGGCCGAUCGGCAUGAUAGGAGGCCGAUAUUUCGACGUGAUUUCGAAAAGAUUACCGAAAAUGUUGUAUUGGACAAACUGGCCUCCGUGAGUUGGAACCGCCGGAAAUUCGCCGUCAGCCAUUUCCUUCCUCUAUAUGUCUCU
rnacentral:misc_RNA from 1 species